rnacentral:rRNA from 1 species
GACGUAGGGCGCGAGCGUUGUCCGGAUUUAUUGGGCGUAAAGAGCUCGUAGGCGGCUCGUUGCGUCAACCGUGAAAACCCGGGGCUCAACUCCGGCGUCGCAGUCGAUACGGGCUGGCUUGAGUGCGGUAGGGGAGACUGGAAUUCCUGGUGUAGCGGUGAAAUGCGCAGAUAUCAGGAGGAACACCGGUGGCGAAGGCGGGUCUCUGGGCCGUAACUGACGCUGAGGAGCGAAAGCGUGGGGAGCGAACAGG